rnacentral:tRNA from 1 species
GUCCCUGUAGUAUACAACAUUACAUUGGUCUUGUAAGCCAAAAAAGGGGAUAACUCCCCCAUGGACUUC